UACGUAGGGUGCGAGCGUUGUCCGGAAUUAUUGGGCGUAAAGGGCUCGUAGGCGGUUUGUCGCGUCGGGAGUGAAAACACCGGGCUUAACUCGGUGCUUGCUUUCGAUACGGGCAGACUAGAGGCAUGCAGGGGAGAACGGAAUUCCUGGUGUAGCGGUGAAAUGCGUAGAUAUCGGGAGGAACACCUGCGGUGUAGACGGCUAUCUGGACGACCACUGACGCUGAGACGCGAAAGCGUGGGGAGCAAACAGG
rnacentral:rRNA from 1 species